AAACCACCUUCGGGUGGUGGACAGUGGCGCACGGGUGAGUAACGCGUGGGAACGUACCUUUUAGUACGGAACAACCAUUAGAAAUGAUGGCUAAUACCGUAUAGUCCCUCCGGGGUAAAGAUUUAUCGCUAAAAGAUCGGCCCGCGUCCAAUUAGCUAGUUGGUAAGGUAAUGGCUUACCAAGGCGACGAUUGGUAGCUGGUUUGAGAGGAUGAUCAGCCACACUGGAACUGAGACACGGUCCAGACUCCUACGGGAGGCAGCAGUGGGGAAUAUUGCGCAAUGGAGGAAACUCUGACGCAGCCAUGCCGCGUGAGUGAAGAAGGCCUUCGGGUUGUAAAGCUCUUUUACCUGUGAUGAUAAUGACAGUAGCAGGAGAAAAAGCUCCGGCUAACUUCGUGCCAGCAGCCGCGGUAAUACGAAGGGAGCGAGCGUUGUUCGGAAUUACUGGGCGUAAAGCGUGCGUAGGCGGUUUAGCAAGUUAGAAGUGAAAGCCCUGGGCUCAACCUAGGAAUUGCUUUUAAAACUGCUAAACUAGAAUCUCGGAGGGGAUGGUGGAAUUUCCAGUGUAGAGGUGAAAUUCGUAGAUAUUGGAAGGAACACCAGUGGCGAAGGCGACCAUCUGGACGAGUAUUGACGCUGAGGCACGAAAGCGUGGGGAGCAAACAGGAUUAGAUACCCUGGUAGUCCACGCCGUAAACGAUGUAAACUAGCCGUUGGGAGUCUUAAGGCUUCAGUGACGCAGAGAAAUCAUUAAGCAUACCGCCUGGGGAGUACGGUCGCAAGAUUAAAACUCAAAGGAAUUGACGGGGACCCGCACAAGCGGUGGAGCAUGUUGUUUAAUUCGAAGCAACGCGAAGAACCUUACCCACACUUAACUAUCCUCUUGGGGCUUUCAGAGAUGAUCGCUUUCGGUUCGGCCGGGGAGUGAAUAGGUGCUGCAUGGCUGUCGUCAGCUCGUGUCGUGAGAUGUUAGGUUAAGUCCUGCAACGAGCGCAACCCUUAUCGUAUGUUGCCAUCAUUAAGUUGGGAACUCAUGCGAGACUGCCGGUGUUAAGCCGGAGGAAGGUGGGGACGACGUCAAGUCAUCAUGGCCCUUACGUGUAGGGCUACAAACGUGCUACAAUGGCUACUACAGUGGGCAGCAAACCGGCGACGGUGAGCGAAUCCCCAAAAGUAGUCUCAGUUCGGAUUGUUCUCUGCAACUCGAGAACAUGAAGUCGGAAUCGCUAGUAAUCGUGGAUCAGCAUGCCACGGUGAAUACGUUCCCGGGUCUUGUACACACCGCCCGUCACAUCAUGGGAGUUGAUUCUGCCCGAAGGCCGUGCGCUAACCUCUAGGA
rnacentral:rRNA from 1 species